rnacentral:rRNA from 1 species
GGGCUCACACAAGCGGUGGAGCAUGUGGCUUAAUUCGAGGCUACGCGAAGAACCUUAUCCUGGACUUGACAUGUGCGAAAGCGUUAGGAAGUAGUCUGCGGAAACGUAAGACCAACGGUAUCCAGUCCGGAACCUAAUACAGGUGCUGCAUGGCUGUCGUCAGCUCGUGUCGUGAGAUGUUGGGUUAAGUCCCGUAACGAGCGAAACCCUUGUUUCCAGUUGCCAGCGAGUAAAGUCGGGGACUCUGGAAAGACUGCCGGUGUUAAACCGGAGGAAGGCGGGGAUGACGUCAAGUCCUCAUGGCCUUUAUGUCCAGGGCUGCACACGUGCUACAAUGGCGCGUACAAAGGGAUGCCAACUCGCGAGAGGGAGCCAAUCCCAAAAAGCGCGCCCCAGUUCAGAUUGCAGGCUGCAACUCGCCUGCAUGAAGUUGGAAUCGCUAGUAAUCGCAGGUCAGCAACACUGCGGUGAAUGUGUUCCUGAGCCUU